CAUCACCGCACUCGUCUCCGUUUCGGCCUAUGCAGGGUGUAAGCUGCUAAAGAAGCUUUAACCUUAAGGGGGCCUCAGGGAGAGGAGUCGUG
rnacentral:miRNA from 1 species